GGACCCGGCACUAAUGAGAGGAUGGCUUAAAAUUACACCCAAAUAAUUUUCAAAUUGACAAACAAAUGAAACCCAUAAGUGUACUUUCUCAUUAAUUUCACCAGAGAAUAAUUCAUUGCUACAAUAUCGCGAGCGGACACGGAGAAAAAUUAGAAAUUGGAAAGGGAAGAAAGAAAUUGGAAAAGGGGCGUUAUCCAUCAUAAAUAUCAAGAAGAUAUGAAAACUCCUUAUUAGAGAGAAGUGUCAUCAGCUGGGCGACUGGGUCACGUGACUCGUCCCUACGCACAUUUAUUUACAUUAUAUUUAUUUACUCUCCCUUUGCUCAGAGGGUUUGCUUCGCCUGCUGUUCCAGUGUGCAGGAACGAGCACCUCAUAAAGACCGUCAUUACAAAACACAUGCGUCUCCCACCUGAGCAGACAGGUCAAAGGUCAACAACAGCCCCCCCCUCCUCACGCCCCUCCCCGCCUCACUGGGACCCUAAUGUCAGCGGUGGAGUCAGGGGUGGAGCCAGCGAUGGAGUCUAGGUGGAGUCUAGGUGGAGUGUAGGUGGAGUCAGCGGUGGUGUCUAGGUGGAGUCAGGGUGGAGUCAGGGUGGAGUCAGGGUGGAGUCAGGGUGGAGUCUGUGCUCCGCGCUGUGUUUUUCCUCGGCGGCCACCUGCUCUGAUUCAACGUGUUCUCACAGCCGUGUUCACACAAGCGCACAACAAAAGCCCCGAUGGAGAUAAAGAGACAAAGAGAAGAGGUUCAGCUAAAGAGCUGUUUGGGUUCUGCGCUGGUCGGUAGACUAGACAGCACCCACAAAACAACACGUCCCUUCAAGGUUCCUCUUGUGUUCUGCUGUAUUUUGGCUCCUGGGGCGACAAGACAAACACGAGCUGUUAAAUAAUCAAUCAUUGCAGCCUCGGCAACCAGAUCCUAACAGGGGCCUUCUGCAGGACAGGACCGCCCCAACGUGGACUCCCUCCCCAACGUGGACUCCCGCCCCAACGUGGACUCCCUCCCCAACCGACGGGACUCUCGACCUGCACCCCCCUCGCCCCCCAGAGCGACGCGGCACGGCGGCGAUGACGCUCUGCCAAAGGAGACUUCACAGUCAGACCAAACAAGCACACAAUCUAGUCAGCCACUUCAACCAAGUCACAGAUAAGCACCGCAUAUCUGUACACACACACACACACACACACACACACACACCCACACACACACACAAGCGCCAACGCCUCCGUCGGUAAAGCCCACAUCCUUCCACCGCGGGGGGGGGGGGGGGGGGGCACGGGUCGUUUUUCCCAGCCGGCGUGUCAGCAGACCACUGCACUGAGAAACCACGCAGCUGUUUGGUGAUUGUUGCCAUGGCAACGGUAAACAAGGGGCGAUGAACAAACACCUCAUGCUGGAGCCGUUUUAAUAUUAACACAGUGGAAUAAUCAGCCGAUUUGCUAGGUGACACUCGGGGGAGGCCCAGUGUAAACAAGUUGUGGGAGGGGACGGGGUGUCGGGGGGGCUUUAGGGAACCGAGGUCGAUGCAGAUGCAGCUCGGGGCUAAAAUAAACAGCCAGGCAGAAGAUAAACACAAAGUCGCUCUUCAGACGUUUCUGAAGACGUUCUAAAGCUGCUGUGUUCGCAGAAACAAAAGACAAGGCCCGGCCCCCCC
ensembl:lncRNA